rnacentral:rRNA from 1 species
GGUAAGCAGAACUGGCGAUAUGGGAUGAACCAAUCGCGGAGUUAAAGUGCCAAACUGCACGCUAAUGUAGAUCCCAGAAAAAGGUGUUGAUACAUCGAUACAGCAGGACGGUGGCCACGGAAGUCGGAAUCCGCUAAGGAGUGUGUAACAACUCACCUGCAUAAUGUAUUAGCCCUGAAAAUGGAUGGCGCUCAAGCGUGCGACUUAUACUCCGCCGUUAGGGCAAGUAACGACGCCCUAACGAGUAGGUGUACGUGGAGGUUGUGAAGCAGCUCUGCCGCGUGAGCGGGAGUGUAGCAGCCUCUAGUGCAGAUCUUGGUGGUAGUAGCAAAUAUUCAAGUGAGAACCUUGAAGGCCGAAGUGGAGAAAGGUUUCAUGGUAACAGCAGUUGAUCAUGAGUGAAUCGAUCCUAAACCAUAGGUUAACCCGUGACGGCGACAAUCGGCAGCAAUGU